rnacentral:rRNA from 1 species
UGGGGAAUAUUGGGCAAUGGGCGCAAGCCUGACCCAGCAACGCCGCGUGAAGGAAGAAGGCUUUCGGGUUGUAAACUUCUUUUACCAGGGACGAAGAAAGUGACGGUACCUGGAGAAUAAGCCACGGCUAACUACGUGCCAGCAGCCGCGGUAAUACGUAGGUGGCGAGCGUUGUCCGGAUUUACUGGGUGUAAAGGGCGCGUAGGCGGGGAUGCAAGUCAGAUGUGAAAUCCAUGGGCUUAACCCAUGAACUGCAUUUGAAACUGUAUUUCUUGAGUGUCGGAGAGGUAGACGGAAUUCCUAGUGUAGCGGUGAAAUGCGUAGAUAUUAGGAGGAACACCAGUGGCGAAGGCGGUCUACUGGACGAUAACUGACGCUGAGGCGCGAAAGCGUGGGGAGCAAACAGG